GAGCCUGCUUCGCCCUCGGCCUGUGGCUCUGCCUCUGUGUGUGUGUGUGUGUGUGUGUGUGUACACUCUCAUGCGUGGGCAAAUAAAAUCUUAAAAAAAAUAAAAAUAAAAAAUGCGACUAACUGGAACGAGGACCUUUCUCGUAGCCAAAGUUAAUGUCCAGUCUUACCAUCCUUUUUUGCACAAAUGCAAUCCUAUUACACUUGACUUUUUGUACAUGGUUAUGUUAAUGGGAUUUUGAGAAAAUGUUUCCAAUAAAUACUCAACAAAAUUGUGCAACUUUUUUAUCCUGCCUGCCCUGAGGCGCUGGUUCCAGCCCCAGAAGACGGCGGUCCGGGUUUGAAAAAAGCAAAAAUACCGCCCCGGUGACUCCGGGCUGAAACCCAGUGGCUUUCCCCAGACUUGCCCAGCCCCUCCCUGGACCUACAGGAACCGAGGGGAUUUCUCCAGCGAUUUCCACCGGGCGGGCACGUUUGGGAAAGCCGGGCUGCGCUGAACAAUGCUAGCAGCUCAAGAGUCAUUUAGUUAAGUAAAAAAAAAUUUUUUUUUUUUAAGAUUUUACUUAUUCAUGAAAGACACACAGAGAAAGAGAGGCAGAGACACAGGCAAAGGAAGAAGCCGACUUCCUGCUAGGAGCCUGAUGUGGGACUCGAUCCCGAUUCCUGGGAUCACGCCCCAAAGCCGGAGGCAGAGGCUCAACCGCAGAGCCACCCCGACGUCCCUAGUUCAGUAAAUUCCAAACCAAAACUGAAGGAGGAGAAACGGCUGGAUCACCAGUGUGCCAAUCAUGAGGGCUUCUUCAGUUUACUGCUAGAUUACCCACUAGAAAGGUCCUGCCAAGACCAUUUAUUUUUGUCUUAAGCAGAGCCCAACAAUGGACUUGAACUCAGGAACUCGAGAUCAAGACUUGAGCAGGCAUCGAGAGUUGGGUGCCCAACUGACUGAGCCACCCAGGUGGCCCCAAAACCUUUCUAACAGCAGCGAGAGUGAGCCUUGCAGUUGGUCAGACAAAAGUGGUGCAGCAAGAGGGCAUCUGGCUGCUGGAAAUUGGAUUCUAUGACGCUGGCUUAGAGACUUCUCAGGACACUUGCUGCUUCCUUGCUGAGCCGCAGGAGUGUCUCGCCUUUCCCAAACUGAAAGGAAUGCCACAUGUCCCUUCCACUUUGUUCUGCCUCGGGAGACGUGGCUAGCUCCCUUCCAGGUUGUGGACAGCUGCUUCAAUCCACUUUCCACAUGGAACUCCAGGAAACACGAGGCAAAACAGUCUAAGUCUCCCCGUGGUGCGGCCUCAUAGCUCUUGUGGUUAGUUUUUCUUAGCCCUUUUGUGUGGUUCUUUCAGAAAAAGACAGAGAGAGGCAAAACAGAAAGAGGCAGCUUCAGUGGGAACUUUCAGUUUUCUGCCCAUGAGCUGAAUAGUCACCUCCUGUGAAUACAGUAGCAUCAGAAAGCUCUUUCCAUUUUUUGAUUCUCCCUCAAAGCCCUUUCAUAUUCUGCCUGUGGUCAGACAUUUUUUGAGGUUUCUUCUCAAUUCAGGGCAUUCAAACCACUUGACCAACAAUGUCAGAAAAGCAGGAAGCCAGGUAGGUAAGUGCUAGCUUCAGAGUCAAGUUCAAGCCCUGCUGCUGUGGAGCAGCUCACAGACACCUGCCAAGCCCAUUUGUGUGCCUGCUGCCCAGCUGGGGCUACACUGUGAGUGAGACCAGGUCCCUGCCCUUGAGGAGCUUUUAGGCUAGAUGAGGCGAAGCUUAGUCUUUCCUCUGCUUUGUACCUUUGGGCAAGUUGUUGACUGCUUUGAGCCUCAGUUUCCCCUUCUGGGUAACAAGAAAAAUCCACAGGGAAGGAAGCUGUUCUCUGGGUCUCCCCCUGAGUCCUCUUACCUAUCCUGAGAAAGAAGAGAAAAAAGUUCAGUUCAUUUGUUUUUUAACAAAAAGAUUGUAUUCAUUUGUUGAGAGACAGAGAGAGAGUGAGCCAGCAUGUGCAGGCGGGAGGAGGGGUAGAGGGA